AUGGACAGGGAUUGCUUUCUUCCUUUAUGAGUUGUGGGUCACUCAACUCGAAUAUUAUUGCAACACAGCGGGCCACACAGGUAGGGCUACUGGACACUUGUUUUUGUUUGUGAUUUCGCCUCCUAUAUAUAUGCAUAUAAAAGCAGGCGACGCGGAUAUAGGAAAAGUUUUGAUUCCUAAGAGCCAACUCGAACAGAUCUGAGAAAGCAUUAUGAAGGCAAUCUAUCUUCUUAUACUGGUAUUGCUAGUAGUCUGUACUGAAUUGAGCAUUGUGAGUGGACAGCAAGAGUCAACAAGAGACAGAUUGGAUAGAGUAACAUGUCAAAGAACUUGCAAUAGGUUCGCCUCAAGAUCACGAAGACGUGGCUGUUGUCAACUGUAUAACAGCUGCUGUUCUGGUUGAUGUAGCUUUCAUGCGCAGCUGGAUGAAAAUUUCGAAAUUUAUUGAAAUCAAUGCAAUGUUACUUUGAGGUUUUGGUUUCUCACGAAUGUACAUAACAACACUUCAGCAUUUGAUAUUAUUGUAAAUAAACAAAUUUUCUUUCAUU